rnacentral:lncRNA from 13 species
AUGUGCAGUAGGAGGGAAGGCUGCCUCCCUCAUGAGACUACCAGGGGGUCUAAUGCAGUGACCCCCUCUCCUCACCUCUCAGAUCAGGAGGGGGGUCUAAUGCCACCUCCCCACCUUUCAGAUCAGGAGCCAGACCUACAGCUCAGUCUGAGAAGUCAAGUGGAGCUAUGGACCAAUGACACAGCAGCACCAGUGAGACACUGGGCAACAGAGCAGAGCAUUGUAGCCUGCCUAGCUGCCUGCUUUCACCUGGUAAUAACCUUGUUUCUCUGGUGUGAACGCCACUCAAGGGAGGGAGAGGAGAGGAGGUGCAGGGAGACGAGAGGAGGUGCAGGGAGACGAGAGGAGGUGCAGGGAGACGAGAGGAGGUGCAGGGAGACGAGAGGAGGUGCAGGGAGACGAGAGGAGGUGCAGGGAGAAGAGAUAUGCAUACAUUUCCAGCAGCAGCCCACGAGGGUCUGGAGACUGAAGUCUGAAAGGUCAGCAGCCAACCAACUCAGGUAAUACUUUGUGUGUGUGUGUCUGUUAUUGUGUUGGUGAUGUCUUAUCUGUGGAAAUAGUCUCUGAGAGGAUAUCUUGGGGGAUUCAACGAAGGUAGAUCAUUGGACCAAAUUAAACAAACAGAUCAAUCACCAACCCAAUCAAUCACUUAGCAGAUAUACUUGCCACCUCCAUUUUGGUCAUUACUAGUGUGGAGAUCAUUCUCCUGAAACUGGCUGUUUAUGAUGAUCUUGCCCAUGCAGCAAAAUUAUGGAAACACACAUCUGCGUUAUCACGUCUAUUAGCCCAGUCUGUUUUUCGCAUCUCUUUGUCAUUCAUGAAUCAAGGCCGUCCUGCCUGCCCCUCCCUUCCCCUACUAGACGUCCUCUGCAGAGGGGACUGGAGGAGCAAUGAGAGGAGGGUAGCAGCUGUGAGUUUAGUCUCCCACUGAGUGGUUGCUGAUGCUGACUGCUCUAGGGAGUGUCCGUUUUGGCAUAGUGGACUCGCUACCACAUAAAUAAAAGAAAAACACUGCCGGGACAGCCACUACCACCUGCUUGGAGUAGGUUUUCUUCAUAUGGUUAUUAUUGUAGAAGUGUCAUUGUAUAAUUAUUUGGUGCCCAAUGUGUAUCUAGUAAUUCAAUCUAUAUAGUUCAGGAUCUACAUUAACAUGUGUUCAUUAGGCUAGAUUAUAGAUCUGACCUGGGGGUGUAGGUAAAACAAUGUUGAAUAAAUUAUAUUUCCCAGGGUGCAAUGGGUUAUUCAUUGUUUGUAUAGAUGAAAGAAACGCAGCAACGUGGUUGUGGAAAGUUAUUCGGGGUCUCUCUGGUUAGAUAGAGAUACGUUGGACAAAGUUGUCAUUUCUUUAGCUUAAACAUUUUGGAGACUGGCGGUAAGCCCACUGUUAUUAUGAUAUGUGUAAUUAUGAAAGAAGGUGUAUCUGUCAUUAGGCUAACAUUGAAUCGCUAGCUAGCUCGGGUUAACUACGGCUAGGCUAACAGGGAGAAUGAAUAUAGCCAAAAGUGUGCACAUUGUGUCAGAUAAAUAUUAGCUAGUUAUGAUAAACAAUCCGGUGGCUAGAUGCCACCUCUAGCUAGCCAGCUAAUAAUAUGAGUCAAUAUUGGAAUGAAGCAGCUCUGUCUUAUGAUUGAUUGCAGUUUGACUGGUAGCGGGCUGAGCUGGUCCAUAAUGCGUUUGCUUGUCUCCAUCAUCUGCUGCAUAAAUCAAGCAUUGCGUGACAAGUGCAUUGAACAACUCAAUGAAUUCUAAUGCAAUGCAAAAUAAAUGUAGUACGUAGAUGACCCUUCACACACGCUAAAACAGUUAGAGUGUCAGUGUAAACCAUAGUAAGCUUCGCUAUGGUGCAUACUAUUCUGUAGCAGCUCGUCUCACUGUGACGUAGAGAGAGUCUAUUCUACAGCACUGAAAGGAAAGCAGAGCAACCCCCUUUCAGAAGCGCCGAGUGAGCAUGUGUGGCUCACGACUGGCUAGGAUGUCCUUUAAUAUACGGUUGCUAUGGAAAUGGAUGACAUGAAAUGGAUCCGUACGGCUAAAAAAUCUCCUCGAACCCUCCUCACCUCGUGUUUUUACAGACAUCACUGCCAAGAACCUGACACGUCAUAAGGAGAUUGAUACCAGCCGAGGUAAGGAUCUCAACAUUGCUCUCUCUUGCUGCACAUCAUAAACAAUUAGAAUUAAAGGAUGUUUUCCCUUGUACCUUACUGAAGAAUAAUCAAUACAUUUUAAAUUAAAAAGCCAUGCUGGCAAAUCUUAAAAUAAAAAAAAUAAUGAAUUGUCUGUCUUCAAAGUUCUUUAAAAUGUUCUAAACAAAAAUAUUUAUUAUUGUAUCAGUGAUAAAAUGAUAAAAAAUUUGAAGAAAUGUGUUAAUAUUGAAGUCACUGUGGUGGGGUAACCUUAUUGAAGUGUGUUGAUAAGGACACUGCAGCUUUAAGUCCACAUAUUGAGCAUUACAAUUAUCAGAAAGUCAUUCUCUUCAGUAACAGUUCCAUGAGGCGCCGGCACAGAGGAGAGGCAUGCGCAACACAAAAUACACACGCACUAAAACUAGUGUCUCCUUUUCCAACUAUCAGCCAGAGCCAUCCAUCUCUCUCAUCGGUCCAGUUCACACUCUCCUUUGUUCCUGCAAGAAAAGUAUGUGCAUGAGUGUGGUGAGAGAGGGGAGAGAGAGAGUGUGAGGGGAGAGAGAGAAAAGAGAGGGAGACAAACGAAGAGACCUGCUCAAUUCAAUUUCUCAUUCCUGUCUCCUCUCCAGUCCAGUGGAGCCGGCGCUGAAGAAAGGGGCUGAAGAUUGGCCGCUGCCCGCUCUAGCACCAGGAUCCUCUACAGCCGUCUGGGGUGAGGGGUGGAGGAGGUGCCUGGCUGGGGCUGGGUGGAUGCUGCCUGGAGGAGGGGGGGCCACGGCAGCA